GACGACCUUUGGCGGCGCGCCUAACACAUGCAAGUCGAACGGAGCUAUGUUGAAAGCUUGCUGGAUAUAGCUUAGUGGCGGACGGGUGAGUAACACGUGAGCAACCUGCCUUUCAGAGUGGAAUAACGUUUGGAAACGAACGCUAAUACCGCAUAACGUCAGAGGAUGGCAUCGUCUUUUGACCAAAGAUUUAUCGCUGAAAGAUGGGCUCGCGGCCGAUUAGGUAGUUGGUGAGAUAAUAGCCCACCAAGCCGACGAUCGGUAGCCGGACUGAGAGGUUGAACGGCCACAUUGGGACUGAGACACGGCCCAGACUCCUACGGGAGGCAGCAGUGGGGGAUAUUGCACAAUGGGGGAAACCCUGAUGCAGCGACGCCGCGUGAGGGAAGACGGCCUUCGGGUUGUAAACCUCUGUCUUCGGGGACGAAUAAAUGACGGUACCCGAGGAGGAAGCCACGGCUAACUACGUGCCAGCAGCCGCGGUAAUACGUAGGUGGCAAGCGUUGUCCGGAAUUACUGGGUGUAAAGGGAGCGUAGGCGGGGAGGCAAGUUGAAUGUCUAAACUAUCGGCUCAACUGAUAGUCGCGUUCAAAACUGCCACUCUUGAGUGCAGUAGAGGUAGGCGGAAUUCCUAGUGUAGCGGUGAAAUGCGUAGAUAUUAGGAGGAACACCAGUGGCGAAGGCGGCCUACUGGGCUGUAACUGACGCUGAGGCUCGAAAGCGUGGGUAGCAAACAGGAUUAGAUACCCUGGUAGUCCACGCCGUAAACGAUGAUUACUAGGUGUGGGGGGACUGACCCCUUCCGUGCCGGAGUUAACACAAUAAGUAAUCCACCUGGGGAGUACGGCCGCAAGGCUGAAACUCAAAGGAAUUGACGGGGGCCCGCACAAGCAGUGGAGUAUGUGGUUUAAUUCGAAGCAACGCGAAGAACCUUACCAGGUCUUGACAUCGAGUGACGAACUUAGAGAUAAGUUCUUCCUUCGGGACACGAAGACAGGUGGUGCAUGGUUGUCGUCAGCUCGUGUCGUGAGAUGUUGGGUUAAGUCCCGCAACGAGCGCAACCCUUAUCAUUAGUUGCUACGCAAGAGCACUCUAAUGAGACUGCCGUUGAUAAAACGGAGGAAGGUGGGGAUGACGUCAAAUCAUCAUGCCCCUUAUGACCUGGGCUACACACGUACUACAAUGGUGAUCAAACAGAGGGAAGCAACACAGUGAUGUGAAGCAGAACCCGAAAAAUCAUCUCAGUUCAGAUUGCAGGCUGCAACUCGCCUGCAUGAAGUCGGAAUUGCUAGUAAUCGCGGAUCAGCAUGCCGCGGUGAAUACGUUCCCGGGCCUUGCACA
rnacentral:rRNA from 1 species